rnacentral:rRNA from 1 species
GGGUUGUGAGGUUAAGCGACUAAGCGUACACGGUGGAUGCCCUGGCAGUCAGAGGCGAUGAAGGACGUGCUAAUCUGCGAUAAGCGCCGGUAAGGUGAUAUGAACCGUUAUAACCGGCGAUUUCCGAAUGGGGAAACCCAGUGUGACUCGUCACACUAUCAUUAACUGAAUCCAUAGGUUAAUGAGGCGAACCGGGGGAACUGAAACAUCUAAGUACCCCGAGGAAAAGAAAUCAACCGAGAUUCCCCCAGUAGCGGCGAGCGAACGGGGAGGAGCCCAGAGCCUGAAUCAGCAUGUGUGUUAGUGGAAGCGUCUGGAAAGGCGCGCGAUACAGGGUGACAGCCCCGUACACAAAAGCGCAUGUGCUGUGAGCUCGAUGAGUAGGGCGGGACACGUGGUAUCCUGUCUGAAUAUGGGGGGACCAUCCUCCAAGGCUAAAUACUCCUGACUGACCGAUAGUGAACCAGUACCGUGAGGGAAAGGCGAAAAGAACCCCGGCGAGGGGAGUGAAAAAGAACCUGAAACCGUGUACGUACAAGCAGUGGGAGCACCCUUUGGGGUGUGACUGCGUACCUUUUGUAUAAUGGGUCAGCGACUUAUAUUCUGUAGCAAGGUUAACCGAAUAGGGGAGCCGGAGGGAAACCGAGUCUUAAUUGGGCGUUAAGUUGCAGGGUAUAGACCCGAAACCCGGUGAUCUAGCCAUGGGCAGGUUGAAGGUUGGGUAACACUAACUGGAGGACCGAACCGACUAAUGUUGAAAAAUUAGCGGAUGACCUGUGGCUGGGGGUGAAAGGCCAAUCAAACCGGGAGAUAGCUGGUUCUCCCCGAAAGCUAUUUAGGUAGCGCCUCGUGAAUUCAUCUCCGGGGGUAGAGCACUGUUUCGGCUAGGGGGCCAUCCCGGCUUACCAACCCGAUGCAAACUGCGAAUACCGGAGAAUGUUAUCACGGGAGACACACGGCGGGUGCUAACGUCCGUCGUGAAGAGGGAAACAACCCAGACCGCCAGCUAAGGUCCCAAAGUCAUGGUUAAGUGGGAAACGAUGUGGGAAGGCCCAGACAGCCAGGAUGUUGGCUUAGAAGCAGCCAUCAUUUAAAGAAAGCGUAAUAGCUCACUGGUCGAGUCGGCCUGCGCGGAAGAUGUAACGGGGCUAAACCAUGCACCGAAGCUGCGGCAGCGACGCUGAUGCGUUGUUGGGUAGGGGAGCGUUCUGUAAGCCUGUGAAGGUGGCCUGUGAGGGUUGCUGG